rnacentral:rRNA from 1 species
UUCUUAUAGGAUUUAUUAUAAGUCAGACCUGCUCUAUGAAUCUUCAAUAGCGGUUUUACCCUAAGGUAGCAUAAUCAUUAGCCUUUUAAUUAAAGGAUAGUAUGAAGGGUUAAACGUAAAUAUCUCGUCUUGGUUCUAUUUGAUCGAAAUUAGUAUAAGCCUAAAAAAAUGCUUAUUUCCUUUAGGGACAAGAAGACCCCAUAAAGCUUUAUUAUUAGUUCUAAAAUUCCUUUUUAACUUAUAAUUUAAUUGGGGCAAUUCUAUUUAUUCCAACUUAUAGAAAAAUCUUUUUGAUCCAUCAAUGAUGAUCAUUUGAAUCAGUUACUUUGGGGAUAACAGCAUAAUUAAAAUUAGAAAGUCCUUAUUAAUAAUUUUGCUUAUGACCUCGAUGUUGGAUUAUAAUUCUUUUAAGUGCAGAAGCUUAAAAAAGAAAGUCUGUUCGACUUUUAAACAUAUACA